UACGUAGGGUGCAAGCGUUGUCCGGAACUAUUGGGCGUAAAGAGCUCGUAGGCGGUUUGUCGCGUCUGCUGUGAAAACCCGAGGCUCAACCUCGGGCCUGCAGUGGGUACGGGCAAACUAGAGUGCGGUAGGGGAGAAUGGAAUUCCUGGUGUAGCGGUGGAAUGCGCAGAUAUCAGGAGGAACACCGAUGGCGAAGGCAGUUCUCUGGGCCGUAACUGACGCUGAGGAGCGAAAGCGUGGGGAGCGAACAGG
rnacentral:rRNA from 1 species